rnacentral:snoRNA from 2 species
UGGCAGUGAUGACACAUUUAAGGCUUGUUUCUCAAUACAUUCGCAGUUGCCGCCUAACAGCUUUCGCCCUGCCAGGCUUGAGAGCUAAUGCUGCUAAUUCCUUCCUUGGAUGUCUGAACCC